UGGCUCAGAGGUUAAAGCGUCUGCUUGCAAUGCAGGAGACCUGGGUUCAAUCCCUG
rnacentral:tRNA from 1 species